GACGAACGCUGGCGGCGUGCCUAAUACAUGCAAGUAGAACGCUGAAGGAGGAGCUUGCUCUUCUGGAAGAGUUGCGAACGGGUGAGUAACGCGUAGGUAACCUGCCUGGUAGCGGGGGAUAACUAUUGGAAACGAUAGCUAAUACCGCAUAAGAUUGAAUAUCGCAUGAUAAUUGAUUAAAAGAGUGCAAAUGCAUCACUACCAGAUGGACCUGCGUUGUAUUAGCUAGUAGGUGAGGUAACGGCUCACCUAGGCGACGAUACAUAGCCGACCUGAGAGGGUGAUCGGCCACACUGGGACUGAGACACGGCCCAGACUCCUACGGGAGGCAGCAGUAGGGAAUCUUCGGCAAUGGGGGGCAACCCUGACCGAGCAACGCCGCGUGAGUGAAGAAGGUUUUCGGAUCGUAAAGCUCUGUUGUAAGAGAAGAACGAGUGUGAGAGUGGAAAGUUCACACUGUGACGGUAUCUUACCAGAAAGGGACGGCUAACUACGUGCCAGCAGCCGCGGUAGUACGUAGGUCCCGAGCGUUGUCCGGAUUUAUUGGGCGUAAAGCGAGCGCAGGCGGUUAGAUAAGUCUGAAGUUAAAGGCUGUGGCUUAACCAUAGUACGCUUUGGAAACUGUUUAACUUGAGUGCAGAAGGGGAGAGUGGAAUUCCAUGUGUAGCGGUGAAAUGCGUAGAUAUAUGGAGGAACACCGGUGGCGAAAGCGGCUCUCUGGUCUGUAACUGACGCUGAGGCUCGAAAGCGUGGGGAGCGAACAGGAUUAGAUACCCUGGUAGUCCACGCCGUAAACGAUGAGUGCUAGGUGUUAGGCCCUUUCGCGGGGCUUAGUGCCGUAGCUAACGCAUUAAGCACUCCGCCUGG
rnacentral:rRNA from 1 species